rnacentral:rRNA from 1 species
AUGGCCUCCGACGACAGCAGCUCGAGCCACCCGACGGAGAAGAAGGAGGAGGCCGCCGCCGCCGCCGCCGGUGGAGCUGGCUUCGACGACCUGGAGGACCCGCGGUUCCAGUGCUGCGUAUGCCUGGAGCUUCUCUAUAAACCAGUUGUUAUUGCAUGUGGUCAUAUGUCAUGUUUCUGGUGCGUCCAUAAAGCUAUGCAUUACGCCCGGGAAUCCCAUUGUGCAAUAUGCAGGCAACCUUAUACUCAUUUCCCAAGUAUCUGCCAACUCCUCCAUCACUUGCUUUUAAAGCUUGAACCCGUGGAAUACAAAAAGAGGGAAAUGGAAGUACUAGAGCAAGAGAGGAGCGUGGAUACCUUUUCUCCACAAAUCAUUGAGUUCUUAAACUCCAAGAACAACAAUGGCGAAAAUGGAAAAGAUUGGGGCAACAAGCUUGAAGAUGGCAAAACUGGACCUCCAGGAGAAGCCUCAGUUGAUGACAGUACUAUGAACGAGCAUUCAAUGAAAAUAAAGUUAGAUGAUGUGUCUUGUCCUAUCUGCAAGGAGCUGCUGUAUCAACCUGCUGUUCUUAACUGUGGUCAUGUGUAUUGCAUAUCUUGUUUGCCUUCCGUGGGUGAUGAAGCAUUGAAAUGUCAAGUCUGUGGAGGUCUUCAUCCUGGAGAUUUUCCUAAUGUUUGUUUAGAUCUUGACCACUUUCUGGAAGAAUAUUUUCCAGCAGAAUAUGAAUCAAGACGCAAGAAACUUCAGCUUGAGAAUAGCCAAUGCAAUCCUGAAGGAUCAUCUUCAAGUACUUCAUGCAAGAAGGGAACUUUUGUACAGAAGACUCUAGACUUAUCAAAUGUUCACAUUGGAGUUGGCUGUGACUCAUGUGGGGUCUAUCCGAUACGAGGCAAGCGAUACAAAUGCAAGGAUUGCACAGAGGCAAUUGGAUUCGACCUUUGCGGGGAAUGCUACGACAGCACUUCAAAGCUCCCAGGCCGCUUUAAUCAGCAGCACACACCUGACCACAGGAUGGAACUCGAUAAUUCAUCACUGUUUGACGCGUUCCUGAGAUUCCAAGGGAUACCCGCGGAGGGUCUGCAGCAGCUGGUACAACAAAUGGAGCUCAUUGGUGCUGGUGGCAUGGUGCAGAUAGUGGCUGAUGAUGAAGAGAUGGAGGACAAUCAUGAGGAUGCUUAG